rnacentral:piRNA from 1 species
UACAAGUUGGUGAUAGUGUCCAUGUUGUC